UCAACAGAUGUCGCUGCACGUAAAUUC
rnacentral:piRNA from 1 species